GGGUGGCGACGGCUGGGGUAGAGGACCUGCAGCGCGGAGCCUGUCCAUUUGCUCCCCUCUUCCCCGCGGCCAAACCUGGGUGCUGCGUCCUCUGCUGCCCAAGAAGCCGGAUGCCCGUCUCCAGGUGACAUUUUAGGUUAUUGGGUCCCAGAUUGCUGGCACACUCAUCCCUGUUCUCAAACAUCUUUUAAACUUGGGUGAAGUGAUAAGUAGGGGAAGAAGAUGAUUUACUGAAAGUCUGCCAGAAUCAGUUCUGCAGAGCUGCUCCCAGUGUGCAUUUUCCCCAUGUCCACUGCCUCAUGUCCUGCUUCCUGCAGAUGCAGCUUGUCUGUGAAGAUUCCCGGUGAGCUCUCCUCCUCUCUCAGAACCAAAGCCGUGCACAUUCCCAGUGAUGUCCUCUAGGCCCUGGUCCUGUUGUUAUAAAGAAAAAAAUGUUGCUUUCACUCUAGAGUGUGCUACUUACACUAGAAAGAUAUGUGUUACCAACAUUCUCUGAGCUCCAAAGUCAUGGGCGUUCUGUAGCUUUGUAAGCACAGUCUGAAGUCAGGAAGUGUGAUACCUCCAGGCUUUGUUCUUUUUCCUCAAGAUUGCUUUGGUAAUUCCGGGUCUUUUUUGGUUCCAUACAAAUUUUAGGAUUAUUUGCUUAGUGAGAUAAGUCAUACAGAGGAAGACAAAUACUCUACAUUAUUACUUAUAUUCAGAAUGUGAAAAAUAAUACAAUCAAGUGUGUGUCACAAAACAGAAACAGACUCAGAUGCAGAGAACAAAGUAGUGGUUACCAGUGGGGAGAGGGAAAGGGGGAGGGGACAGAGAUGGGUAGGGGAUUAAGAGACAUGAACUACUAUGUAGAAAACAGAUAAGCAACAAGGAUCUGUGGUAUAGCGCUGGAACUGUAGCCAUUUUUUGGCAAUAAGUUUAGAUGGAGUAUAACCUAUAAAACUAUUGAAUCCUUAUGCUGUACACCUGAAACUAAUACAAUGUUGUAAGUGAGCUAUACUUCAAUAAAAAUAAAUGAGUAAAUAACUAAAAUAUAAGUGAAUAAAUAAAUAAAAUAUAAAUGAAUAAAUUAAAAAUAAAACUUGGGACAUUCUUUUCCCAUGUCCUUCCCUGUUUUAUAUUUACUGAUUUGGGCAGCCCCCUCCUAUUUCAUUGUUCAGGAAUUUAAGUAGCCCACAUACCUCAACAAAACAUUAGAUUUAUAUUUUUUUCUUAUUUUCCCAGUUACUUUUUUACAUUUGAGAAUAAAUGAGAAAUGAAGGAUUUAAUCAGCCACAUUAGAGUGGAAAGUUUUUAGUGUCCUUUUAAGAAAAUAUUUUGCGUUAUAUUUUGUAUAUUUUAUUUAUUUGCAAUUGGU